AGCUGACAGUUUUGCAAAAUAGUGCCUAGUAAUAAUGUAAAAAGAAAUUGUUAACUAGAGCUAUAUGAAAGAAAUACAAGUCGGUGGGACUAAAAUAAUUGUUAAAUGUUGAAAAAGGUUUUGCUUGCAUCGAGUGAAAGAACAAAAAAAUAAUGAAAUCAGCAAAGCUGUUAUUUUGUUUGGUAAAUUUCCAAAUAUAUAACACAAAAAAAUGCAUGUACGAAUGAGUGUACACAAAUUAUGCAAAGAAAUUGUGCUUUUGCUGGGAAAAAAUAAGUAAAAUGUCAAUGAAAAUCCAUAAUGAAGUCAGCAAUGCUGCUAUUUUUGAUAAAUUGCCAUAUGUAGAAUAUAAAAAAAUGCAAGUACGAAUAAGUGUACACAAAUUAUGCAAAGAAAUUGUGCUUUUGCUAGAAAAAAAUAAGUAAAAUGUCAAUGUUUAAGAAAUCCAUAAUGAAAGCAAUAAUGCUGCUAUUUAUUUUUUUUUUGAUAAUUCCCAUAUAUACAAUAUAAAAUGCAUGUACGAAUGAGUGUGUGCAAAUCAUGUAAUGAAACUGUGUAUUCGAUAGAAAAUAGUAAGCAAAAUGGCAAAGAAAAUAUUUCAGAAAAAUCCAAAAUUCUUAUAAACUAGAAGCCGCAUAAAGAGAAAAAAAAAUAAUAAGUAAAAUGACAAAAAAAUACUGAAGAAAAAUCCAUGUGAAUCAGGCAAAUUAUGGAAAUUUGGUAUAAAACAAACUUUUUAGUACAAUAGCUUUCGCGGAACUAGUAAACAUCAAGGAGAAUGUAAAUAAGCUAAAAUAAUGGAAAUUUUGUAUUAAAUAAACUUCUUGUUACAAUAAAAAAAAAAAAAGGCAGAAAUCUAAAGUGAAUGAAGUUAUUAUUUUUGUUUCCCUUGGAGUAAAAAUUAAACGAGUAGAACGAAAUGAGCUCAAUUGGCAAGAACAACGAUAACAACAACAGCAGCAGUAAUGUGACAUUUAUCAAUGAUCGUCAGUAAAAUUCGUGAUAGAAAUUCAUCGAAACCAACGUUUUGGAUUACACUAAGAAGCAACAUAACAAAGUAAAGAGGAGAAGGAAAAGGGACGAAUAAGAGCGAGAGACUGUAAGGAGGAGGAACCGCCGAUGUAGGAGCUACCGCAGCAGACACUACACCGACACCAAUUGCAGCAGUAGGUUGGGUUUGGCCUGAUAAAAUCAUCAUAUCCAGCAGAGUGACGACUGUUUAUUGUUCGAUACGCCUUUGCGCUUUAUCAAUGAUAGCGAAACUAUAUGAUAAUGUAUGGAAAGAUUGAUGAUACAGAAUUGAUUAAAAGCUGUUUUCUCUUUUAAACAACCAAUGCCAAAUCUAAAAAGCCAAUACUAAUGGGAAAUGCGAAGUAUUUAGUUUACAUCUGACGUACCAUUCAAAUACCUUCAGGUGAUGGUAGAUACCUUUUACAGGCGUGGUUAAUAUCGCCGUACAGAACUUUACUCAAUCCAAUCAAAUAAGCAUACAAUAUUAUUCAUAGGAGAGCAAAAAAAAUUGUUGAGAGAUAAAUUGGUGUACAUAAAGGCUAGCAUUUAAUUUAUUUUUCAAAAAUCUAAAUUAAACCUAUUAAUUUUUCAAGGUGUCUGGCGUAUUAUAGCGCAGAACGGAAGAGCAGAUACGAUUCAAGGAUAUAUAAUAUAAAAUAUGAAACCUAGAAAUUCAGGAUUUAACUUCUGCAGCCCUCGUAACUUUUUUAUGGCUUUCAUGUUUUGCUACAGAGUUCCCUAUUUAGGCGAAUAAGAACAAUAAGAGAAAAUAAGAACCGAUAUAUGUUCCUCACUUCUAAACUGUAUUGUAUUGAAGAAAAAA